GGACCUGAACCUAAAUUAUAGGAGUACUUUGAUAGAGUGAAAGAUGGGGGUUAAAGUCCCCUCAGCUCCG
rnacentral:tRNA from 1 species